UUGCACAAGACUGAAUCUGGAUCACCAUCUAGUGGCAGACGGGUGAGUAACACGUGGGUGACCUACCUUUUCGUUGGGGAUAACAGUUGGAAACGAUUGCUAAUACCGAAUAAAAUGUAAGAGUCAAUUUUACAUUGAAAGGAGCCUUUAAAGCUUCGCUUAGAGAUGGGCCUGCGGCGUAUUAGCUAGUUGGUGGGGUAAUGGCCUACCAAGGCGACGAUGCGUAGCCGGACUGAGAGGUUGAACGGCCACAUUGGGACUGAGAUACGGCCCAGACUCC
rnacentral:rRNA from 1 species